UACGGAGGGUGCGAGCGUUGUCCGGAAUCACUGGGCGUAAAGGGCGCGUAGGUGGCGAGGCAAGCGUGCGGUGAAAGCUCGGGGCUCAACCCCGAGUCGGCCGUGCGAACUGCUUUGCUUGAGCACUGUAGAGGCAGAUGGAAUUCCGGGUGUAGCGGUGGAAUGCGUAGAGAUCCGGAAGAACACCGGUGGCGAAGGCGGUCUGCUGGGCAGUUGCUGACACUGAGGCGCGACAGCGUGGGGAGCAAACGGG
rnacentral:rRNA from 1 species